rnacentral:lncRNA from 1 species
UUUACAUCAAAAGACCUUCUAGGGUCCCUUGAUGUCCCUUCUCUGCUGGACCUACUAGACAUUACCCUUGGCAGAGCAGAGGGAAGGGCAUCCCUGCCCUCAUUCUCAGGUGGGACUCCAGUCAAUUGUGUAGAUCGACGAGUACCUCGCAUUCUGUUUUCUGAAAAACAACAUACACCUCAAAACAUUAGCAUUAAUGGUUCAUGUGAAAACACAUGAACCCGCAUCACAUACA